UACAGAGGUCUCAAGCGUUGUUCGGAUUCAUUGGGCGUAAAGGGUGCGUAGGCGGCGCGGUAAGUCGGGUGUGAAAUCUCGGGGCUUAACUCCGAAACUGCAUUCGAUACUGCCGUGCUUGAGGACUGGAGAGGAGACUGGAAUUUACGGUGUAGCGGUGAAAUGCGUAGAUAUCUGGAGGAACACCGGUGGCGAAGGCGACAUCCUGGACCGGUAUUGACGCUGAGGCGUGAAAGCCAGGGGAGCAAACGGG
rnacentral:rRNA from 1 species